AAGGGAAAAGAAAAAGGUUUGAUCAGUGAAACAGCACUUCUUUUUUUAAUUUUAGCCUGAAAAUACUGUGUCCAUUUUUUGCCAUGAUAUCCAUCAGCAAUAACGAUGAAACAUUUCGUUCUGAGUUACUAGAGACUGUUCAUGAGGGAAGAGCAACUAACCGUGUCACGUUCAUGUAGGAGUGGCUGCAGAAGUGAUGGAUAUGAAAAGCUUAAUUUCUCAUACAGCUGAAAGUUACUAUCAUCAGAACUUGAUUCCUUCAACGCCUUUGUUGAUAGUUCAGUGGAUGAGGUUAUUCCGCCAAAGACAGAGAGUAGAAGGCUCGUCUUCUCUUUCCAUUUUAGUGAAGUCCAUGCUCGUUCAAGAUUGGACUAAGUGUAAGUGCAGCAUACAGUUAUUUCUAUUGGCCGAUCCCCUAAUACAAUUUGAGCACCAAUAUCCUCAGCAGCCUUUCGAGCAGCACGGAACUCAUCUCCAAAAGAACGAUUAGCACUUGAAGACAUUUUUGAAGAGAAAAGUGCCAGCACUAUGCGUAAUGCUAGAGCAGUUUGACCCCCCAAGUUAAUGCUACGACCAACAGCAUCGAAAAAUCCAUUCCCACUCAAAGAGAACAUGUUUGAUUUUAACGGCUGAUUGAGAUCACUAUCGUCAGAAGUAUACAUGAUACCAGCCCUGCUUCUGCAAAGCUCCACAACCACAUUCUCCGGCUUGACAGUGCGGAUAACCCUUUCAACAUGCAGAGGCGAUUCCAUAGAAAGAUGGUUCGUUCCGAUCAGCCAAAUAGCCUCUGGUUCAACAAACUCGGUUCUCCAUGAUGGAACGGGUCCAAAUUGGUUCUUCUUGAUGAGAAACAGAGUUCCAUUAUCAGCUAAAUCGAGCAAUUCGGGAUGGGUAUCUUCAAUAGCAUCCCGAGAGGCGCUGAAAAAUUCCGAUUUGAAAUCGAAGUUUGGUGGUGGUGGGUUUAUGGCAACUCUGCAUUGAUGAAAUUUAGUUCUGGGUAUGAUGGGUGGGGAAAUUGGGAAAGGAGAAGUGAGGAUUCUCAUGGCCGGAGCUAA
rnacentral:misc_RNA from 1 species